UACGUAGGGUGCAAGCGUUAAUCGGAAUUACUGGGCGUAAAGCGUGCGCAGGCGGUUUUGUAAGUCUGACGUGAAAUCCCCGGGCUCAACCUGGGAAUUGCGUUGGAGACUGCAAGGCUAGAAUCUGGCAGAGGGGGGUAGAAUUCCACGUGUAGCAGUGAAAUGCGUAGAGAUGUGGAGGAACACCGAUGGCGGAGGCAGCCCCCUGGGUCAAGAUUGACGCUCAUGCACGAAAGCGUGGGGAGCAAACAGG
rnacentral:rRNA from 1 species